rnacentral:rRNA from 1 species
UACGAAGGGGGCGAGCGUUGUUCGGAAUUACUGGGCGUAAGGGGCGCGUAGGCGGCCGAUCAAGUCAGAUGUGAAAGUCCUGGGCUUAACCUGGGGACUGCAUUUGAUACUGAUUGGCUUGAAUUCGGGAGAGGAUAGCGGAAUUCCCAGUGUAGAGGUGAAAUUCGUAGAGAUGUGGAGGAACACCGAUGGCGAAGGCAGCCCCCUGGGUCAACACUGACGCUCAUGCACGAAAGCGUGGGGAGCAAACAGG